AUUGAACGCUGGCGGCAGGCCUAACACAUGCAAGUCGAACGGUAACAGGAAGAAGCUUGCUUCUUUGCUGACGAGUGGCGGACAGGUGAGUAAUGUCUGGGAAACUGCCUGAUGGAGGGGGAUAACUACUGGAAACGGUAGCUAAUACCGCAUAACGUCGCAAGACCAAAGAGGGGGACCUUCGGGCCUCUUGCCAUCGGAUGUGCCCAGAUGGGAUUAGCUAGUAGGUGGGGUAACGGCUCACCUAGGCGACGAUCCCUAGCUGGUCUGAGAGGAUGACCAGCCACACUGGAACUGAGACACGGUCCAGACUCCUACGGGAGGCAGCAGUGGGGAAUAUUGCACAAUGGGCGCAAGCCUGAUGCAGCCAUGCCGCGUGUAUGAAGAAGGCCUUCGGGUUGUAAAGUACUUUCAGCGGGGAGGAAGGGAGUAAAGUUAAUACCUUUGCUCAUUGACGUUACCCGCAGAAGAAGCACCGGCUAACUCCGUG
rnacentral:rRNA from 1 species